UACAGAGGGGGCAAGCGUUGUUCGGAAUUACUGGGCGUAAGGGGCGCGUAGGCGGCUUAUCAAGUCAGGCGUGAAAUUCCCGGGCUCAACCUGGGGGCUGCGCUUGAUAUUGAUGAGCUUGAAUGCGGGAGAGGAUAGUGGAAUUCCCAGUGUAGAGGUGAAAUUCGUAGAUAUUGGGAAGAACACCGGUGGCGAAGGCGGCGACCUGGUCCAUUACUGACGCUGAGGCGCGACGGCGUGGGGAGCAAACAGG
rnacentral:rRNA from 1 species